UAGGGAAUUUUGCGCAAUGGGGGAAACCCUGACGCAGCAACACCGCGUGAAUGUUAAGCCCUUCGGGGUGUAAAGUUCUGUCAGUGGGGACGAAAUAUGACUGUACCCACAAAGGAAGCACCGGCUAACUCCGUGCCAGCAGCCGCGGUAAUACGGGGGGUGCAAGCGUUGUCCGGAAUUAUUGGGCGUAAAGAGUGCGUAGGUGGUUUUGUAAGCGCGGGGUGAAGGGCGAUGGCUCAACCAUCGUGAGCCCCGCGAACUGCGAGACUUGAGUGCGGGAGAGGAAAGUGGAAUUCCUAGUGUAGCGGUGAAAUGCGUAGAUAUUAGGAGGAACACCAGUGGCGAAGGCGGCUUACUGGACGAUAACUGACGCUGAGGCUCGAAAGCGUGGGGAGCAAACA
rnacentral:rRNA from 1 species